rnacentral:rRNA from 1 species
UACAGAGGUGGCAAGCGUUGUUCGGAAUUACUGGGCGUAAAGGGCGCGUAGGCGGCCUUGUAAGUCCCGUGUGAAAUCCCUCGGCUCAACUGAGGAACUGCACGGGAAACUGCUUGGCUUGAGUUCGGGAGAGGGAAGCGGAAUUCCGGGUGUAGCGGUGAAAUGCGUAGAUAUCCGGAGGAACACCGGUGGCGAAGGCGGCUUCCUGGACCGACACUGACGCUGAGGCGCGAAAGCCAGGGGAGCGAACGGG